rnacentral:rRNA from 1 species
CCUACGGGAGGCAGCAGUGGGGAAUAUUGCACAAUGGGGGAAACCCUGAUGCAGCGACGCCGCGUGAGUGAAGAAGUACUUCGGUAUGUAAAGCUCUAUCAUCAGGGACGAAAAUGACGGUACCUGAGUAAGAAGCCCCUGCUAACUACGUGCCAGCAGCCGCGGUAAUACGUAGGGGGCAAGCGUUAUCCGGAUUUACUGGGUGUAAAGGGAGCGUAGGCGGCAGGGCAAGUCUGGAGUGAAAGGCGGGGGCUUAACCCCCGGAGUGCAUUGGAAACUGGACGGCUGGAGUGCAGGGGAGGUAAGUGGAAUGCCUAGGGUAGCGGUGAAAUGCGUAGAUAUGAGGAGGAACACCAGUGGCGAAGGCGGCUUACUGGACUGUAACUGACGCUGAGGCUCGAAAGCGUGGGGAGCAAACAGGAUUAGAUACCCUAGUAGUC